ensembl:lncRNA
CCUCGGGCUGCGGGCAGGUAGCGGGGCGCUGCCACUCGCACGUGUCGGCGGCAGAACGGCAUUUCUUCAGCGAGGUUUGCGGUACGGUUUCAAAGGAGCCAAAGGAAAGUCUGAGAAAUGCUGUCACGGUCCCAAGAGGCUGCCCUCCAGAGCUGCUCUCCUCAUGAUGCCUCAGGCUGGACUGGGUUGUGUGGAUCAAGCUGCAGGCCCUUGAGCCAUCUCUAGAAUGCACAUUAGAUGGGAGUCCCUCAGGGCUACCAACAGCUAAAGACUUACCUUGCUGCAGUCCCAAUAAGGCUGUUCUAGCAAUCCUGCUGUACAGAUUGUGUUUCCACUGCAUGAGCUGCCUCUUUACUCUCUGUCGUUAUCCGUAACCACCACAACCUCCGGGUCUCUGCUCUUAUAAACCAUCCUGCUAACACGAGUGGAGGAGAGCAAUAUCAGAAGGGGGAGACUCAGUCUCUUCUGAGAAAUUACAGAACUACCAUUCAGCCCCAGAAUCAGCAGAGUACCCCGCAUUCAGGUGGCAGGAAUGACAUGGAAGUCAUCUGAAUCAUGUUUAGGAAUGAAGAGACAAAGUGAAGAGAGAAGAUAUGUUUUUGGAUUCAGGAAUUUCUAGGAAAAGAAAAAAAGAAGAAAAACUGUAUUAUUUUUGGACCCAAAGGACCUUUAUUUCUCUCUUAAAUUUUCUGUCAAAGAGAGACUCCUCAAAGUCAGUUGUGAAAACAACAGUGCUCAUUACCCCACUGGAAUUUAUAAGCUGGACAGGGAACCUGAAGGUUGUCUCUCUUCAAAGAGACAAUUCAAAAUACUAUGAAAUCCUAGGAAAUUAAAUGCAGUUCUGUCUGGCAGGAUAGAGGAGGAACUGUCAAAAAAGGGAACUAAAACUGCUGUUACCUGCUUUUAACAUGUUAUAUAGAAGUUCGGAGUUUCCUCACUGCGGUGAGGCUAGGCUUGAAACAAAUAGAAUUGAACAGAAAACAUACCCUGAUUGGUCUCCUGUAGUCAGUCUUCCAAUCAAGACUGAAGCAUGCAAUCAUCUACUUGGUGAAUGUCUGGUAAAUAAAGUAUGAUGGCCUUUAAAGUAGAGGAUAUAUUAAUAAACAGAAGGAGGUCUUCUAGCCUUGUAGGGGAAAAGUCCUCAACUUACUUUUCAAACUUCUAUCAGCUCACCGGCCUCGAAUGGGAGUGAUCUGGCAGUGAUGAAGUGGCUGCCUUGGAUGCCUUUUAGGGACCAUCUUUUGCUUUCUUGGUUGCUUGCCCUAGCCUGAUAAUCAGGAAUCCAUGAGAAAUGGAAGUGGCCUCGUUUGCUGAGCUGAAAUGAUCCUAGAAGAGCUUCCUGUUUAAAGCAGCAGGGAGUGCAGCCCCCAGAACCAUCAAUCAUACGAUUCAUAGCAUUCGCCCGACUGGAGCAUUACAGGAACAGUGCUCCAUUCAGCUUCAGGAGUCCCCUGUAACGUCAUGAACUGCAGGAUCUCAAAGUCAGUAUUUCUUCACUGUGUCACAGUUGUUCUGUAAUAGAAAUGGGUAUAGUUAGGAAGCAACGAAGCACCUUCACUGUGCCUGGGAAUCGGAUCAGUGUUCUCACGUCCUCUCUGAUGGCAGCAGAGUAGUUCAUUAAAAAGUGCAAAAAACCUGAAAAGCAAACUACACAUCAUGCACACACAUUUCUUGCACAGAACAGCUAACAGUGACUUAGUUUAAGAACUGGAAGUCCAGAGCUUGAAGAUUUAUAUCCCUUGUGAUUGUAAAUUAUGUCUACUGUUGCUGAUGCUUACGUACCUUUAGCAUGGCUGUCAUCUUCUG